GAGGUUUAGCUUCUAGAAUCUGGAGGCUCUUUGAUAUAGCCUGGAGGAUUCUUUAAACUCUCUUCUAAAGCUGCUGGAUUCACCUUCAAUGAUUACUGGAUGCACUGGUUUUGAUAAGGCUCAGGGAAUCGGCUAGAGUGGUUAGCAGAUAUAAAAUAUGUGAAAAGUGUAAAAAACCAUGCAGAGUCUGUGAAGGGAAGAUUUGCCACUACAGAGACAAUUCUAAAAACUUAUUUUAUCUACAAAUGAACAGUCUGAGAAAUGAGGACAUUGCCCCUUAUUACUCUAUGA